rnacentral:rRNA from 1 species
UGAGGAAUAUUGGUCAAUGGCCGCAGGGCUGAACCAGCCAAGUCGCGUGAGGGAUGACGGUCCUAUGGAUUGUAAACCUCUUUUGUCAGGGAGCAAAGGACGCCACGUGUGGCGUUUUGCGAGUACCUGAAGAAAAAGCAUCGGCUAACUCCGUGCCAGCAGCCGCGGUAAUACGGAGGAUGCGAGCGUUAUCCGGAUUUAUUGGGUUUAAAGGGAGCGUAGGCGGACGCUUAAGUCAGUUGUGAAAGUUUGCGGCUCAACCGUAAAAUUGCAGUUGAUACUGGGUGUCUUGAGUACAGUAGAGGCAGGCGGAAUUCGUGGUGUAGCGGUGAAAUGCUUAGAUAUCACGAAGAACUCCGAUUGCGAAGGCAGCCUGCUGGACUGUAACUGACGCUGAUGCUCGAAAGUGUGGGUAUCAAACAGGAUUAGAUACCCUGGUAGUCCACACAGUAAACGAUGAAUACUCGCUGUUUGCGAUAUACAGUAAGCGGCCAAGCGAAAGCGUUAAGUAUUCCACCUGGGGAGUACGCCGGCAACGGUGAAACUCAAAGGAAUUGACGGGGGCCCGCACAAGCGGAGGAACAUGUGGUUUAAUUCGAUGAUACGCGAGGAACCUUACCCGGGCUUGAAUUGCAACUGAAUGAUGUGGAGACAUGUCAGCCGCAAGGCAGUUGUGAAGGUGCUGCAUGGUUGUCGUCAGCUCGUGCCGUGAGGUGUCGGCUUAAGUGCCAUAACGAGCGCAACCCUUAUCGAUAGUUACCAUCAGGUUAUGCUGGGGACUCUGUCGAGACUGCCGUCGUAAGAUGUGAGGAAGGUGGGGAUGACGUCAAAUCAGCACGGCCCUUACGUCCGGGGCUACACACGUGUUACAAUGGGGGGUACAGAAGGCAGCUACACGGCGACGUGAUGCUAAUCCCUAAAGCCUCUCUCAGUUCGGAUUGGAGUCUGCAACCCGACUCCAUGAAGCUGGAUUCGCUAGUAAUCGCGCAUCAGCCACGGCGCGGUGAAUACGUUCCC